AGAGAUGAGAAUGGCUCCUUUUCCUCUGAAUUCUGAACCUGGUUCACUCCGUUUCUAAAUUUUUCCUGAGGUAUCCUAAGCACCUUCCACUCUCUCUUGAGCAGGAGCUGAAGUCAUGCUGAAGUCUACCUCACAGUUGGAUUUUUUCACAUUCACUUUGAUGGCAGACCUACUGACAGACACAAGGAACAAAUCCUUAAAAGUUCAUAACCUCAGAAAAAAUACCCUAGUCUGAAAGAUUUACCAUUAAAACUUCAGACUGUUUUGAAUGGAUGUGUUAGCUGAAGUUUUAUCAAAUCUGAUACAGGGUGCUGUGUCAGUUUUCUUCACUGUGACUUGCUGGAGCCACCAUGGAUCUGAGAAUAGAAGAAAGUCAGUUCCACUUAUGGAGAGCAAACAUAGGAAGAAUUUAAGAACUGAAGCAGCCCAAGCAGAAGGGAACUGAAGAAGCCCAAGCUUAUCAGCCUGGGAGGAAGGUCACAACAGAUGUUCAAGUACCCACUGGAGCUGCUGGCACAUUGGAUGUCGCCUUACUUAGGUGAACACUGUGUUUCUACACAAUGACUUUUGUUUCUCAUUUUUCAUCAGAAGAGUCUCUUUGGAGGAUGUUCAGAUCUUCCAGGAGCAAGCUAAAAUCUGCUAGAGUAAAGCUUAUGUGCAAUGUAAAUGGCUACUAGGUCUUGACUGGAGGACAGUAUCAGUGUCAAAUGAACUAUCAGUAAAAGGCACAUGGAGGUAUAUGCUUUUCUGGAUCUAGGCUCAGGUAAUGCAAAGAAAGGGAUUUAGUUAAAAUAAUUACUGCAUAAGAUACUCAUUACUACAAGCCCAUUUCAAGUCUGUCAUUCUACUGUUUAAUAUGUCACAUAAUGUAGUGUAACAGUUUCUUAAGUUGAAAGUUUUCAAGUUCCUGCCUAUGUAUUAUUCUAAUGUUUUUACCAGUAUGAUGAACAAGUAGCAAAGAAAACUGCUCAUUGACAGUCAGCUUAAAUUGACUGUGCAAGACCUAUAUUGCCAGGGAAGCCAGGAGCCCCAAAUAAUAGAAGCUGAAAGCCUUUUGCAUGGGUGACUGCUCUGGAUCACAGGCAGGAGGGUAUGUUCAAUCUGACAUUCCAAAAUCCACUUAAAAGGAGUUUUGACUGCAAAUGCUGAAGCUCUGGGUAUUUAUUAAAUCCACUGUGCAGAGAGGACUGUCUACUCAAAGCAAGUAUUUUUAAGCAUGAUCAUUAAUGAGAUUGCCACAAAACUUCUAACAACAAAUAAAAUAAGCACUCAGGUGUCUAAUUAAAACAUGCUUACUUAAUAAAACAUGCAUAUUAAGACUAGUUAUGAAACAAAUUUGAGCUUCCAGCAAAGACCACUAGUAGACUAAAGGCAUUUUUGAUAGUUAAGGUGGGUAGGUUCUGGGCCUACGCUUCUCAGGCAUAAAACCCUGUGCAGAAUGGCCAAAAAGACUUCAUUAUGUCUUCGCCUAACCUAGGAAUUUCAUUUAAGUCAGGUUUAACUUUCUUUGCACUUCUGUCCUCACCCUACUCAGUGAUUUCAGCUAUUGUGUUCGUUCUGCCUCAAAGUUGUAAAUGUCCUCCCCCUCCAAUCUGUUCUUUCAGUUAAACCUUCAUUUGGGAGUUCUGCCUCAACUUUCUUCUUCAAGCUCCAAAUUUUUAGGCUUUUUCUUUCCCACCACUACACAAAUGUUUCACAGAUACUCAACUUUGAGCUGCACUGAUCUAAAAGUAAAGUAUUGCUACAUAGGUGGACAAAACAUUGAAGAAAAAUACACUAAUCAUUAGCAUUCAAUUUAUCAAUGUGACAAAGCUGUCAUAAUUUUGUCGCUGUAUGUCCCAUUUUACAUAUCAUACUAUUUUUUUACAGAAUUUCAUGCUCAAAAGAGAUUUGCAUUACCAUUGUAUGACUAGAGGAGUCUACACAGCCUUGAUGUAUUGGCCUUGACUCCCUAAAGGCUUUUUUUCAUGUUUAAAUGUUUAUGCAUUUUAGUUGUGGUAGUUUACCUGACCUCCUGUAAACCAUCUCUUGGGGCACUUAAGCUGCUAACAUACUUCUUGAGGGUGGUUCACAAACAGACAUAGAAGAGCAGGUACUUGGCAGGGAAGAUAUCCGAAGAGCAUAGCCUGUAUUGAUCACCAUUGUAACACCUAAUAAAGCAGCCAGUUCUGGACACUCACAUAACUGAGGAGACUCAGUUACUGACACGUUCAGACCUCCGCCAUCUGGGCAGAAUCUAAGUGCUACUUCUCAUUUUGAAAAUGCAGACCAACUAUCUAACCUUUCUCCUAAAAGCCAAACUCACAAUCCAGCAAUGUCUCCAUAGGAUGCAGCUUCAAGAACCACCAUAAUUUACACAUAUAUUUUAUAAAAAAAAAAAACACACCAACCAAACAGAAACCAAACCAAAACAAAAAGAACCAAACACCAUACAAUAAUUAUGAGCAACUGCACUUCUGCAUGACCUGUUCAGGCAUACAGCUUCAUUUACUCAAAGGAGAAAACAAAGAUAGUCAGAGGCUAUAAGUAGUAGAUCUAAACACAAGACUUCUAAGCCCAUUCAUCUUGAAAGCCCUGAGGGCCUGACAGUCAGCAAGAAGACAGGAAUAUUUCCUCUUCCUUCAGCCAUCUCUUGCAGACGAUUUGUCCUUAAGUAGGCUGUCAAAAUUGAAAAGUAUAUAUAUUUACUUCACCUCCUUCUGUUCUAAACCUUCCAGUCUGUCUGUCAGACAAGAUCCAUAAGAUAAUCACAAAAGCCUUCUGGACAAAUCUGUUGACCAAGUGAUCUGUACAGUUUUGUUUUAUUUCGUAGAAACGAAGUCCUCCUAUGACUACAAUGUUUCAAUUAGCUAAACAAACAAACCUCUAUAUAUAAUUUGACUGGAACUUCAGUUCACUGAAAAACUGAAACACCAUAAGAAAAUGAAGUAUGGCCAUACAGCCAUUACAGGCAAAACAAAGUUGCAGUCUGCAGUGGACUUGGGGGUACCUUAUAACAUCAACCAGUACCAAACAACUAUGUAUAGGUAAACAUCCAAAUCAUCACAGACAUGUCUGUGUCAGACAGAUCUGUAUAUAUCAGAUGUAUCUCUACUUGAAAACUAAAUGCAGAAAAAAUCCCCAAGAACAUAAAUGACUACUGGAGGUACUGGGAUAAAACAGAUCCCAAAGGGAAUUUCAGAAGCCUGAUGAUAGAGGAAGCAGCGGCAUAUAUAGCACAGUGACAGUGCUCACAAAGGAGCACUGCUUAUCCAGUUUUACUGCUCUAUUGUACUUUGUAGAGGAACUGCCAAUCAACCUUUCUUUCUUUAAAAAUUGUAGAAAAGGUAAAAGAAGACACAGCUUUAUAGCAAUGUGAAGAAUGUGAAGAUCCAAGCUUCUUGCUCUUUUCCCAGAGAAUUGAUCUUAGUAUUGCUGUGAAAUAGCAACAAUGAAGAAUAAUUUGGACUCGGUGAUCUUAGAGGUCUUUUCCAACCAUGACAGUUCUGUGAUUCUGUGAAACGGCAACUGACUGAGCACAUGAUGUAGCCUACUUUCCUUUGUAAACCCUGUAUCUAGAUGACUAAGAAUACUUAACUUCAGAACAGGGUUUUAAAAGCAGGUUUGCAAAUGCAAAGGUGUUCUAUUCAAGAAUUACAGAUGCAGAACUCGGACUUAGCUGUAUUAUCCUGCUGAUGAAAAAGACAAUGCUUUUGCCUGCCAUACAUCAAUAAAAUUUGUCCCAUUUUUAUAAA